GCAGCGAUGUCCGAGCGGUUAAGGAGUUGGACUCGAAAUCCAAUAGGCUUUGCCUGCACAGGUUCGAAUCCUGUUCGCUGCG
rfam:Syphacia muris strain Valencia genome assembly, scaffold: SMTV_contig0001431